rnacentral:rRNA from 1 species
GGAUAACCCGGAGAAAUCCGGCCUAAUACCGCAUGUGGCCGAGGGGAGGCAUCUUCUUUCGGCCAAAGGAGGCGACUCCGGAGACGGAUGGGCAUGCGUGACAUUAGCUUGUUGGCGGGGUAACGGCCCACCAAGGCGACGAUGUCUAGGGGUUCUGAGAGGAAGGUCCCCCACACUGGUACUGAGACACGGACCAGACUCCUACGGGAGGCAGCAGUGAGGAAUAUUGGUCAAUGGGCGAGAGCCUGAACCAGCCAAGUCGCGUGAAGGAUGACGGCCCUAUGGGUUGUAAACUUCUUUUGUCAGGGAGCAAUUGGGUCCACGCGUGGGCUUAGCGAGAGUACCUGAAGAAAAAGCAUCGGCUAACUCCGUGCCAGCAGCCGCGGUAAUACGGAGGAUGCGAGCGUUAUCCGGAUUUAUUGGGUUUAAAGGGUGCGUAGGCGGAAUAUCAAGUCAGCGGUAAAAAUUCGGGGCUCAACCCCGUCGUGCCGUUGAAACUGAUGUUCUUGAGUGGGCGAGAAGUAUGCGGAAUGCGUGGUGUAGCGGUGAAAUGCAUAGAUAUCACGCAGAACUCCGAUUGCGAAGGCAGCAUACCGGCGCCCAACUGACGCUGAAGCACGAAAGCGUGGGUAUCGAACGGGAUUAGAUACCCUGGUAGUCCACGCAGUAAACG